rnacentral:rRNA from 1 species
CGCGUGAGUGAUGAAGGCUUUCGGGUCGUAAAGCUCUGUCAGAGGGGAAGAAACACCCGGAGGAUAAUACUCUUCGGGCUUGACGGUACCCUCAAAGGAAGCACCGGCUAACUCCGUGCCAGCAGCCGCGGUAAUACGGAGGGUGCGAGCGUUGUUCGGAAUUAUUGGGCGUAAAGCGCGUGUAGGCGGUUUGUUAAGUCUGAUGUGAAAGCCCCGGGCUCAACCCGGGAAGUGCAUUGGAUACUGGCAGGCUUGAGUACGGGAGAGGGAAGUGGAAUUCCGAGUGUAGGAGUGAAAUCCGUAGAUAUUCGGAGGAACACCGGUGGCGAAGGCGGCUUCCUGGACCGAUACUGACGCUGAGACGCGAAAGCGUGGGGAGCAAACAGGAUUAGAUACCCUGGUAGUCCACGCCGUAAACGAUGGGUACUAGGUGUCGCGGGUAUUGACCCCUGCGGUGCCGAAGC